GCAAGUCGAGCGCGAAAGUAGCCUUCGGGCUGCGAGUAGAGCGGCGGACGGGUGAGUAACACGUGGAUAAUCUGCCUAGAAGCGGGGGACAACAUGAGGAAACUUGUGCUAAUACCGCAUACGAUCUCACUCUUUUGAGAGUGCGAAGAAAGGCUUCGGCCACUUCUAGAGGAGUCCGCGGCUGAUUAGCUAGUUGGUGAGGUAAUGGCUUACCAAGGCGACGAUCAGUAGCCGGCCUGAGAGGGCGAUC
rnacentral:rRNA from 1 species